GACGAACGCUGGCGGCGUGCUUCAUGCAUGCAAGUCGAACGGAGCCCAACCGGUGGAAACACCGGGAAAGGUUCAGUGGCGAACGGGUGCGUAACACGUGAGUAACCUGUCCCGAAGACCGGGAUAACACCGGGAAACCGGUGCUAAUACCGGAUGUCCCCACCAAGUCGCAUGGCUCGGUGAGGAAAUGGAUUCCGCUUCGGGAGGGACUCGCGGCCUAUCAGCUUGUUGGUGGGGUAACGGCUCACCAAGGCUCCGACGGGUAGCUGGUCUGAGA
rnacentral:rRNA from 1 species